UACGUAUGGGGCAAGCGUUAUCCGGAUUUACUGGGUGUAAAGGGAGCGCAGGCGGCGCGGCAAGUCAGAUGUGAAAGCCCGGGGCUCAACCCCGGGACUGCAUUUGAAACUGCCGUGCUGGAGUGUCGGAGAGGCAAGUGGAAUUCCUAGUGUAGCGGUGAAAUGCGUAGAUAUUAGGAGGAACACCAGUGGCGAAGGCGGCUUGCUGGACGAUAACUGACGCUGAGGCUCGAAAGCGUGGGGAGCAAACA
rnacentral:rRNA from 1 species